rnacentral:misc_RNA from 1 species
GCAAUUCUUGCCAUUGCUUCAUCAUUUCUUGCUGGCAAUUUUUCUUCCAUUUACAGUUCAACAAAAAGAUUUCUCAAAUGUCACGUUCUUGAACAUGUCUUUGUUCUUUACAACCAUUUCUUUUGCUAUUUGAGUUUCAUUUUUUCACCAUUUUCUCCCCUUUGUCCACUAAGCUUUGCUUUAGUUAAACAUGGAUUCCAAGACCCUUCUUGAUUAUGCACUGUUUCAGCUCACCCCAACUAGAACAAGAUGUGAUCUUGUGGUGUUUUCUGGGGGUAAAAAUGAGAAAUUGGCAUCUGGGUUGGUGGAACCAUUCAUUUCUCACUUGAAAUUUGCUAAAGAUCAGAUUCCAAAAGGUGGGUAUUCAAUCACUAUGAGGCCACCUUCAACUCAUGCCUACUGGUUCACCAAAGCCACAUUCCUAAGAUUUGUACGCUUUGUUAGUACACCUGAAAUUCUUGAGAGGUUUAUGCGAUUGGAACGAGAGAUCUCACAGAUCGAGAGUUCCAUUCAAUCCAAUGAAUGCUCCAAUGGCAAUUCAGAGGAAGGAAGCUCACCAGCUAAUAGUGAGAGCACCAGGAAAUCAAACGAUUCGUUCAAGGCAAAAUCUGAAGUUGAAGAAGCUAAUAAUGCUGCACCUAAAGAAAACUCCAAGAUUCACCUUCAACGCCACCUGGAUACCCGAAAGGCAUUACUUAGGAAAGAGCAGGCCAUGGCUUAUGCGCGUGCAACCGUUGCAGGCUUUGAGAUAGACCAAUUGGAUGAUCUCAUACAGUUUGCUAAUUCUUUUGGUGCAGUACGUCUUAGGGAUGCAUGUGUAGAUUUCAAGGAACUUUACAAACAAAAGCACACAGAUGGACAAUGGAUGGAUGAGGUAGCUGCAAUGAAGGCAUGUACACCAAUGGAUCUAUCGUACUUGGGAAAUCAAGGUGUUAUUCUUGCAUAUGACAAUAAUGGCUCUUUGGAUAGUUCUGACUCGAAGGAUUCAACAAAUUCAAAUGGUGUCAAAGAUGAGAAUCUUCCUGCAUCAGAUCCAUCAGCAAAAGUUCAGAUGCAAAUGCCAUGGCAGAACCAUAUUCCUCCGUAUAUGUACAACUUUCAUGGCCCAGCUCAACAGAUGCCUUUUGCUGGCAUGCAUCCUUUACAAUAUUAUCCAGCACAUAUGCAGUGGCCACAAAAUGUAAAUGGCUCCACAAAUGGUUCUGUUAGGGACUCUCACAAACGCUCAAAGAAGAAGGAGAAAUCCAAAGAACAUAACAGUUCAGAAGAUGAUGAACAGACUGAGUCGAGUGCCUCUGAUUCUGGAACUGAUUCAGAUGAAGUUAGGAAGCAUGAGAAAAAGCAUUCUUCAAGGGAGAACUCACAUGCUAAAAAGCACAAGAAGAAAUCCUCAAAAAGAGUUGUAAUCCGCAACAUCAAUUAUAUCACUUCCAAUAGAAAGAAUGAGGAAAAUGAUGGAUCUUCUUAUGAUUCAUCUUCAGCUGAAUCUCAUUUACUCGAUGAAGAUUCUAUCAAAGAGCAGGUAGAUGAUGCUGUUGCAAUACUGGAGAAACGUCGUAAUUCAAAGGGACAUAGGAACAAGAAUAGAGGACAUCAGAAUCUUGAUGUAGAGAAUGAAUCAAAUGGUUAUAGCAACACGGACCUAAAUGAGGGCGUGUCACCAAAGUUAUCUGAGAAAGCAAAAGGAAAUAAGGCUUGGGAUGCAUUCCAGAAUAUUCUGAUGAGUCGUGAGGAGCCAAGUAUGAAUGGGACCAGUGACCAGCUACCUUUGGACUUCCAGGAUGAAGGCUAUGGGAUCAAGAAUUCUGGUGAGAAGGUCAGAAGAGACCAUCUGACACCUGAUGAUUCUCUUAUGAGCAAAAAUCAUGAAGAUAAUGGCACAAAGGUUAACAUGGUAGAUUUUGCCAAUGGUGAGGAUAUGAGGCCAAGUUUGAAGAAAGGAGUUUCUGAAGAUGUGCAUCUUCUAUUUUCGCACAAAGAACCAUCAGGAGGCAAUACAUUGGGAACUCCAUCUGAUUUUGGUUCUGAAUCCUCUGCUAUUAGAAAUAGUAAUGGGGAAGAUUGGUUUGUUGUCAACCACUCCGGCAGUUCAGAAACUCAAGAGACUAGGCGAAUGAUAUUUGACAAUGACAGUAGCAUGUCAACUCAGAAAAGUUCCUCUCAAGUCGAAAGUGAAAGAGCUGCUCCUAUUGAUGAUUCUUUCAUGGUACAGUCUCGACCAGCUUUUGAUGAUCAAUAUGGUUCUCAGUGGAAAACAGACAUUGGCAUGGAUGCAGACUUGGUUGCUGCAGCAAAUGCUGAAAAUAGUGAUCCAGUUGCAUCAAAAACCAAGCUUAGUACAUAUGGGACCAGUCAACCUGAUGACCUCUGUGUGGUGCUGGCAAGAGAAACUAGUUUGGAUCCUCUUGAGGCAUCUUGGCAACCAGAAUUGGAUUUUCAGAUUGAAGCUUCUUUCAUUCAAGUUGAUAAAAAAUCUUCUGCAGUUGAGGCAAAACCUCCUCCUACUGAAGAAACUGUUCCUGUGAAAGGUAAAAGCACAACUAAGAAGGACAGUCUUGCAAAGACCGGAAAAGAUGCAAGGUCUAAAGUCUCCCCAGGAUCUCUGUCAAGGAGCAGGAUUGAUGCUUUAGCAAAGA